GAAGCGCGAUAGAUAGUGCGAAUUGCAGAAUCCAGCGAGUCAUCGAGUCUUUGAACGCAUAUUGCGCCCGCCGGCAUCCCGGCGGGCACGCCCGUCCGAGCGUCGCUCACAACCCUCGGGCACCGCCCGGCGAUGGGGCCACGGCCGCGCAGGCCCGGCCCCGAAGACCAUAGGCGGCACCCCCCCCGCGCACGCGCCCGCGAAGUAAGCAUACUCGCGCGGGACGGGCGGAGGGGCGCCCCCUAGAGCACCUCAGGUUGACCUCGGAUCGGGCGGGGCUACCCGCUGAACUUAA
rnacentral:misc_RNA from 1 species